AAAUUUAGCUGGCCAACCAAAAAAAUAUGCCGGCCGGCCAAUUUGUUCGACUAUGGGGUAGAAAAUGGGUUUUAAGACCUAAUUGCUUUAAAACACACCUUGGGCUCAUUUCCUUAUACCACCUAGUUCGAAAACACUAUCUCCCACUCCCGAAACUUUCUCUCUUUUGAUUUUUCCCCAUUUCGAUUUGCCCCAAACCCUUGUCCACGCAAACCCAAAAAAACACCACAGUUCCAUGCUUUUUGCACCGAUUGGAAUCCAAAAAAGUGUAAUUCACUGCUCCUCACAAUUUUCGUUUUGAUUUCCCACAAUUUGGACUAAUUUUUGGUGGCUCCUCACAACUAAGGUAAUUUCUCAAAAACCUUGAUUAACUGCUUACAAACUUGGACAACUUUCUUGAAUUUCUUCAUGGUUUGCUUUGAAUUUCUUGAUUUUCUGUUGAAUUUUGGGUAGUUACUCACUGUUUAGGCAUUGAUUUCAUAUCACAUUGAAUGCUUGGUCAAUUGCUCAUAAAUUAGACAAUUCCCUUAGAAUUUGACCAAGAUUGCUCGCAAUUUUCGUUACAUGCCCCCUUGAUUAAAUGAAACUUAGACCAUGAAUUUCAAUUUGAUUUGGAUAUUGAGUAACAUUUCCAUGAACUUAACCUUGAAUUCAUAUUGCUGGGAAAUUUUGUCCCUCACAUACACAUUGGCCCCAGUUUAACAUUGUUGAAAUUAAAACUCUUGAGAUUUCUUCAAUUUGCCAUUGAUUUUGCAUUUUUUUUUCACAGUUUCAUCACUUUUAGAAUAUUUUAUCACUUUUCCCCUUUGAUUUUUGAUGAUUGCCCACAACUUGGAUUGGAUUUCUCACACUUUCCUUUAAUUCCAUAAAUUGCUAUGGCUAGCGACGACGCUCCUCAUGAUGACGUACCACCUAUCAUCACCGGUGCCUGGGGUUGAUAUCCCUGUGCCCGCCGUGGACGUUGAGGGCCAUGACAAGGAUCUCAUGGCUGCGAACAUCAAGCCAGAGCCAGAACCAGAGCCAUUUCCCUUGAGGACAAGGCCAUUUGAUCUUGCGACCUACAUGCCACGCACACACACAAUGGUCCUCGGGGGAUGUUGCAAUUCACAGAGUUCUCCUAACGGGUUGCAGAGGAUGUGGUGCUUUAGGAAAGUUCGAAGCACCUCUUCCAUGAGCCCUUCGUUGUAUUCUCAUUUUACUUCUGUUGCAUGCUACACUCUAAAUUCCUUGAAAGUUACAUUUGUUUUUGUAUGCUAACAACUUUCUUGUUGCAGAUCACCGGCUAACUGGUGAAAGGGUACGGGAGUGUCCACGUCCCUCGCCAGUGGUACGGAGAUCUCUCCACCGAGGUCUGCACCCUGGUGGAUGGAGUCGGCUUCACCCCAUUUUACUUGGAGAUCUGGUCACUAUAGGUGGACCGGUCGAUCUAUGACGCCUUGGUGGAGAGGUAGUAGGACACCACCAACUCCUUCUACUUUUCAUCCAUCAGAGAGAUGACAAUGACCCCUUAUGACUUCUCCAUGAUCACUGGUCUCUUGGUGUGGGGUGAUCCGAUCCCUUUUAUUCUAGACCUGAGCCAGGGGCAUGCUACUCAGAUCUUUCUUCUUGGGGUUAUGCUACCCCUUGCUUGCCAUGGGAUGAUCUGAUACAACUGGCUCUAGCAGCAUUUCCAUGGGACAGAGCUAGCAACUAUAGAUGAGACAGCCAAGUAUGCUCACGGGUUUCUUCUUUAUGUCCUCGGCACUACCCUGUUUUCAAACAGGAAGAAUACCGUAGGACUUUAUCUAUUGAGUAGCAUGGUGGAACUCCCGUGGGUGAGGGAGUACAACUAGGGUGGAGUUAGCCUCGUCACCCUCUACGGAUACAUGAGCUCCAUGUCCCGCCGGAAGAUGGAUCUGUUUUGGGGCUACUAGAGGGCUUGUGAGAUACAGUAUGCACUUUCUUUCAAUUUAGUUAUAUUUUAUCGCUUAUCUCAUUUUCAUCUUUGCCUAUUGGCUUUCUGAUAUGCUUUUUCGUACAACUAUGGCUUUACAAUUACUUUCCCUCCAUUGCCCAUAUUUCGCAACUUGAGAUUGCCAUGGCAGUGCCUUGCUCCCUAUAUUACGAUGGGAAACUCUGUCCUCGUAGCCGACAUGUCUGCAGCUUCAUUGCUUGCCGUCGCUUCUUUGACACUGUGACUGUCGACAUAUGGCAUCCUUGGGUGGCCAUGCCCCUUGCGAUGAAGGUGAGAUAUGUUAUUUCUUGGGAGGCUUCCAGGAUGAGGGCAUUGUUGGAGGGCCCAUUCUACAAGGUCUGCUACUUGGGGGAGGGAUUCACCCACCAAACUUUGGGCCAAGUCGAUCCUCGUAUUCUAUCAUUCUCCAUUCAUGAGGACUGCCAACGACAUCAUUGACAGGGCCCUUAUCGAUGAGCUAAUGCUGGCGCAGGAUGCUAAUGCCUUUCAUAUUCCUAGGGACUAUACCACAUUCUUGCGGUUCCAUAUUAUGCCUUCUUUGACCAAGGGUGUGGUUCGCAUUAUCGGAGUUGCUGAUGUCCUUGCCGCUAAAGAUGUUGCCCUUAUUGGUGCUGCCCUUGCUGCUAGAGGUCCCACACCUCCUGUUAAUGAUGUUUCCUUCCCUCUCGGACAUCCGGUGCUUUCCUUAGUGAUUACAUUUCAGCACCCGGAUGGUCUUCUUAAUGAGUUACCUUUAGAACCUCUUGGACGACGGUCACUCAUCCUCGUCCCAAAGACCCGACCAAUAUACCCUUCUCUUUACUACUUUUCAUUUAUUUCUCAUUUUUUCAAUUUCGUGCUAAUCUCUCUUUUGUAUACAGUGCCCAGAGAUGGCUUAUACUGAUCAGUGCCUAGAGCUCAUCGACACACUGAUGCUCAUGGUGUGGAGGAGAGAGGUAGCUUUGAUCUCUACCAGGAUUGAGAUGGCACCCCCUCCAGCCAUGAGAAGGAGUGGAGGGAGAGCUCUAGUACGAGGGAGAGGAGGCCAGGAUGAGAGUGGUCGAGGCAGAAAUAGUUGUGGUAAGAGAGGAGGGAGAGCAUCUCCUGUGGAUCCCGAGCCAGAGGCAUAUAAGAGGACAAUGGAGAAAGCAGCGAGGAGAGUGGUAAUGGCAAAGAUGCUGGUGUUGACCUUGAGAUUUCCGAGGACAGUGAGACCGCCAGUGACGUGGAGGCUUCCCUACCACUGAAGAGGAUGAAGAUGGCUUCACAUUGAUUUUUUAAAUUUUUUCUUUCAUGAUGUAUUUUCUCUUUUUU